CGAGGGGCGGGGACUCUUGUGGGGUGAGAGCAGUCAGACAGACGCCCUCGUUGUUUUCCCACAGCGCUGAGGUGGACAGGGGCACAGAGUCCGCUCCACGGUCCCUGCGGAGUCCCAGCCCAAAGGCCACUGGCCAUGGCGAUCUGGCUGUCCCUCUGCUUUUUUUCCACAGCGCUGGCUUUCGACGAGGAGCUCAUGGACACUCAGUUGGAGACGGAGGAGCUGAACUGGCUGGCGCUGCCCAGCAGCGGGUGGGAAGAGGCUGUGGCCGUGGACAAAAGUUUCCAGACCACACGAACGUACCGUGUGUGCAACGUGGAGCUUCCGAACCAGGACAACUGGCUGCGCAGUAGCUUUAUCCAGCGGGGAGAGGCUCGACUGGUCUACGUGGACCUCAGGUUCUCCGUCCGGGACUGCACGUCCUUCCAGGUGGCCGCUGGCUUCUGCCGGGAGACUUUCACCCUCUACUACCGCCAGUCCGACUCUGAGGAGACGGUCCCGGCCGCCGGCGCCGAGCAGCUAAGAGCGGCGUACGCCAAGGUGCAGGAGGUGGCCGCCGAGCACGUCUUCAGCCUCGGGGGCAGCGGCCGGGUGAACAGGGUCACAGUGAGGGUGUGGCCGCUCUCCAAGGCCGGCUUCAGGCUGGCUUUCCGGGACCGGGGGGCCUGCAUCAACUUGCUCUCCGUCCGGGUCUACUUCAAGAAGUGCCCGGCCACCGUCGCCAAUCUGGCCCACUUCCCCGAGGUGGCAACGGGCGACGGGCCGUCCUCGCUGGGGGUGGCGGCCGGCCACUGCGUGCUCAACGCCGAGGAGGACUCCGUCCCACUCAAGAUGUUCUGUGGCAGCGAGGGCGACUGGGUGGGAGGCGCCGGCGCCUGUCGCUGCCGCCGCGGUUACCGGAGCAAUGAGGAGCUCACUGCAUGUACAGAAAUUGAAGAUUAUGUGACGCUCACCCGCUCCCAAUCAUCCCGGGAUGUCCCGCGCCCCUCCUGCAGCCAAUCGGAAGAGCAGACUGCCCUCUUGCGAGCCAAUGGGCGCCUGCUGGAGGAACAGGCUAGGACCCUGGGACAACUGGUACGGGCGGUGGGGGCCCUCAACGACACCCUCAGCGCCAUCUUGCGGAGGCUUCCCGGACUCCUGGAAGGAACGGCCGAGAGUGAAUCCUCGUCGGGCGCUGAUCCCAGGGAGGAGGACGGAGCUCCCAACUAACGCCAUAGACAUUGGAAGGCCCAAACUGGAGGAAUCAGGAACAGAGGGCAAGGAACUGUCGACGUUUCGGGGUUGAGACCCGGUAUCUGGACUGAGCGGAGAGAGAAGAUGGUCAAUCUCUGUCUCCCAAACCCCAACUUUUCCCCGUCUUCCCAUCUCGUCUUACCACUUAUUCCCCCCCCCCCCCCGCAUCGUUAACUGGAGCUCCGGGCCAUUUUAAUAGCCCUCCCCUUUCCCCACAGACCUGUCUGUCCUCGGCCGCCUCCACUGCCAAUGGGAGGGCAAACUCAAGCUUGGUGGGGGGGGGGGGGCGGUAUGAACACCUUGUAUUCCUCAUGGCAUGAACGUUGGAAUUUCCAGCAGAGAAUAUCUGCAGAAGCUGGAAAUCCAAGCAACAGACACAAAGUGCUGGAGGAACUCAGCAGGUCGGGCGGCAUCGACGGAAAUGAGUGGAAGCCACCAGCUUUCAUCGGGACUGGAAAGGAAGGGAGAAGUCAGAGCAAGAAGAGCUUUGGUCGUAAAUGAAGACUUUCUGAGAUGUCUCCGAGGAGCGGCGUUGAACUUAGUUCCAUUUCCAGGUCAAAGGUCUCGACCCGGAGUCGACUGUCCACUCCCCCCUGCAGUGGGACUGCCCGACCCGCUUGUGGCUGGGAAACCCUUCCCGAGAGCGAACUACAUACAGAAGAUUCUGCGGAUGCUGCAAAUCCCGAGCGGCGCACUCAGCAGGUCAGGCAGCAUCUAAAGAGCCAACGUUUCGGAUCUGCUUCGAUCAUCAGGACGUCGGCCCAAAAGGUCGACACUUACUUCUCCCUCCAUAGAUGCUACCGGACCUGCUGAGUUUUUCCAGCAUUGAGAAUGUGUGUGUGUGUGUGUGUUGUGCAGUCACUGAAUGUCCCGGAGCUCAGGGUCCAGGCAGUUGAAGGCAGAGCCCCCAACAGUGAGGGGAUUAAAACCGGGGAUGAUCGAGAGGCCAGUACAAUAAAAUCAUAACGGGAAGUAUUAAAAUAUCACACUUUAUCAAUCAAAAUGUUCACAGAGGGCAAGGAAUGAAUCACAGAGAAUGAAAGGGGAAAGACGCUCUGGGCGGGUUUAAUUUACAACAGGAGGCAUCCCUAUCCGAUGGGUUGUGGUAAUUGAGAGGCGAGAGGUGGAAGGCGGGGCAAUAUUUGGAGCAGCAUCGCCCCUUAACCCGGGCCAUCCAAACGGGGUCAUGGGAUCUUGAACGGAGAGACGGUGGGAGAGGAGGUUCGGUCCGUUCGCCACGAGUGGAGGGAGGGGGCAGCAACCGGGGUGUUUCUGUGCGAUUCAGGUAGAUCCGUUCCAGGUCAUUCCCCAGGUUCCGUUCCGACCCGGAGAGACGGCUGGAAAGCGCAGUCGUCCGAAUUCCAGACACAGACUCCUCGACGCCACCCCACCCAGCUGGCGAUGACCGCAAUCCACCCUCCAUUCUCUCAGACACCCACAACUGGCAGUACCUGGGGAGGGAACUGUGGAUUGCAACGGGGUGACCGCCUGACCAUUGCGCAUUGCUGACCCAUCGGAGGCUGGGGAUCGACGAGGAAGGAGUCUGAGGCGAGAUUGUAAAGAUUAAUCCGGGCGGGGCACAGGGCGAAUGAGCACCCUUACCUAUGGGGAAUAAGAUCCCUCUCCCUGGGGAAGACAAGAUCUCCCUUCUCUUUCCCAGGAGGGGAGGGUGAAGAUGUAAGUGCACAGGUCUCUUUCGGGGGAGGGAAUCAGACAAGGACACUAGCCUCUCUCUUGGGGUUCGGACAGAAGGGCACUGUACACUCCCUUUGGGUGGGGGGGGGGUUUGCAGAGACAAGGGCCACAGGUCUCUCUCGGGCCGGGCAGAACAAGGGCACUCAUCUCACUUUGGGGAGGCAGAGGCACAGGUCACGUGUCUCUCUCUGGUGGGGGUAGGCAGAGACAAGGGCACUCAUCUCACUUUGGGGAGGCAGAGGCACAGGUCACGUGUCUCUCUCUGGUGGGGGUAGGCAGAGACAAGGGCACUCAACUCGCUCUUGGGGAGGCAGAGGCACAGGUCACGUGUCUCUCUCUCUGGGGGGUAGGCAGAGACAAGGGCACCGUUCUCUUUUUUAUUGGGGGCAGAGACAAGGUCAUCGAUCACUCGUGCGGGACAGGGACAAGGGCACAGGCCUCUCAUGGGGGGGGGGGGACGGACAUCUCUGUCUCUCUUCCCCCCUCACAUUGGGGUGUUUCUGGAACUAGUGGACGACACCGUGACCCGGGGGCGCUCUGAAUGGCGAUGUCCGAGCUGUAAUUUCAACGUUUUCGUUGUGAAUGGUGAAUUACAGUAAUGUUUUGCUGUGAUCACCGACUAGAACUCCUUAGAAAACGGAACAAAGAAGGGGACCAUCUUUAUUCCAUUUCCGAAGGUCUGGGGAAACAGAGGACAAAGACAGGGAGCAGGGGCCGUCACUAACCUGUUAGUCUGCUUCAGCGAGACCCAGGACACCCUCUCACCCUGUUGGAACCCUCUCCCUCCACAACGAAUGGUGGAAGAAGGUCUGGAUAAACGACUUUAUCUCCACUGGGGUUCUGAGAGAACCCUGCGUGGUUUCCGGAAGCGGGGGAUAGAUUACGGAACAGGCUCGAUGGGCAGUAUGACCUAAUUCUGCUCCUGUGCCUUAUGGUCUGAGCUCCACCUGACCCUCGAACCAUGGUAGGCGACGAUGAUGCGUUGCCUGGGGUAAUAAUCCACGGAGAAACGUCCCUGAUAAAUCCCGACGACUGGCCGGCCAGUAAUUCGGGGAGAGCUCCCGAAACAGGACCUACUCGCUCCCACCCGGAGGUGGGGAACCGGCUGGAGUUUUACCAGGGACCGGCAGGAUUAGACGGGAGCCCAGUCAGUCAGUCCUCUUUUCUGAGGUGCUUUUUCCCGUCAAGUCCACGGACCUCGUCCUGGUUGGUCCUGCUCCAGGCGGGGCAGGGGGCAUCACUCCGACGACCCUUCACAGAACAGGCACCCGGCCUCCCGUCCAUCGUCUACACCGCCUGAUCCGUCGGGAGAGCAGCCAGCAUGAUCAAGGGUGCCUCCGACCAUCUCCCCCCUCCCCUCCCCUCCCACCGGGCAGGAGAGCGCGUACCGCCGGGCUCAAGGACAGCUUCUACCCCGCUGUUAUCAGACUCGUGAAUGGAUCUCUGGUGUAUAGAAGAGUACAGCACAGGAACAGGCCAUUCGGCCCACAAAGCUAAUCAGUAACACCCAAACACUAACCCCUCCUGCCUACACCAUGUCCCUCCAUCUUCCUCACACCCGCGUGCCUGUCCAAAACCCUAAAAAUGUACCCUCGAUCGACCUCGUCGUGGCCUUGUUAUAAAAUCUUUAUUGCGUGCGUGCGCGCGCCUCACUUUCUCUGUAACUGCAAUGCUAUUCAACGCAACACACACAAGAUGCUGGAGCAAACAGUCGGCGUUUCCGGCCGAGACCCUUCUUCAGGACUGGAAAGAGAGGGGGCAGACACCACAAUAAAAAGGUGGAGGGGGACUUCACACAGAGAGUGGUGGGAGUGUGGAAUGAGCUGCCAGCUGAAGUGGUGAAUGCGGGCUCACUUUUAACAUUUAAGAAAAAUUUGGACAGGUACAUGGAUGAGAGGGGUAUAGAGGGAUACGGGCCAGGUGCAGGUCAGUGGGACUAGGUAGCAAAAUGGUUCGGCACAGACAAGAAGGGCCGAAGGGCCUGUUUCUGUGCUGUAAUGUUCUGUGGGAAGGAGAAUAGCUAGCGGGUGAAGCCCAGCGUGUAGGAGAGGUAAAGUGCCGGAGAGGCAGGAAUCUGACAGAAGAUUAUAAUACUGUGCAGUACAGGGAAAGGGAAGAGAUAGGCAGGUUAGAAGAGGUGAAAGGCCAGAGUGAGGAACAGAAGAGGGGGGAGAAGGAGGAGUUUUUUUUAACCAGAAGGAGAAGUCGCUAUUCAUGCCUUCAAGAUGGAUAUUACCCAGACGGAAUAUAAGGUGUUGCUCCUUCACCCUGAGAAUGGCCUCAUCUUGGCGCAAUAGGAGGUCACAAAAACACUCAACUAACACAAACAUUUACCUUGAAGUGUUAUGUACGGAACAAUCUAUUCGGGUGGUGGCACUAUAGCGUACCGGUUAGCACAAUCAUUUACACCACUGGCGAUUCACCGAUCAGGGUUCGAUUCCCGGCGCUGCCUAUAAAGAGUUUAUAUGGAAUUUCUGUUAUCACAUUUUUUUUGGGGGGGGGGGGUACUCUAGUUUCCUCUCCCGUUUCAAACACGUUCAAGUUGGGGUCACCGAGUUGCAGGGCACACUACGUAGGCACUGGGAAUGUGGCAAUGCUUGCGGGCUGCCAGGCACCAUCCUCACUGAUUUGGUUUAAUGCCAAGGAUGCUUUUCACUGUCUGAUUUGAUGUACAAUAAAAUGGCUCCAAUUUCCUCUCUCCCUCCUCAUUGCCGUUGUCACCCAGCAAAGGUUGGGGUCUGGUUCACCACCCCCCUGAACUAGGAGUGUGCUCUCAGAUCUCCAUCACCACACCCUUCCUCUUUGAUCUACGGGGAGGGGAGGUAACGUUAGUAGUUCCACAACAUGGCUGGUCUAACUGAGCAAGGAGGUGCUCUGGGAAAUCACUGGGCAGAAACCUGGCUCAGGAGGAAACAGGCCUUUUGGCCCAUCCACUCUGUGCAGGCCUCCAAUC